ACUAAGUCCAGCUUCUGACCUUCAUGCGGGGCUUGGCUGCUAAACUCAGUAGAAUCGUUUCUACUACUUUGUUACCUUUCUUAAUUUUCACACCAUUCUAACUGUAAUUCUGUGGGGUGAUGCAUUAGAGCGAUGCAUUCACCAAUGUGGUGAUUACUUUGAAUUCAUUUAUGGGAUGCUUUUGGCCAGCAAUAAUUUCAGCGUGGAGAAGGAAAACAUUGAUCUCAAGCUUCCGCUGCUUUGUGGCUGUACCCACUCAUGGGGAAGGCUUUGACGGUAAACCCCCAAGGACAAGUAUGGAGAUGGAUUCCCUAAGGAAGUCCUAUGUUAAAUUCUACACUGACUGGCAACUCCUGCGAUGCUGCUGGUGUCUGCCGUUCCUUUGGAUUCCUUACGGCGUGGGGAGGGGGAGCCUGCUGCACGGAUAACAGCUUACUCUCCAUAUCGUGCUGCCCUGGCCUGUGUAUCAUGCAGACAGCUGGGAGACAACAUCCAUGGUCACCCCCGACCAGUGGAGGGCCUCACUUCAAUGCAAUGAAUUCAAGUUGUACGAGUACAUCCAAGUUCACUAUCCACAGCUCUCGAUUUCUCUAACUCUGCUUGGAAUGUAGUUGAGUCCUUGGACUGCAGCUGAACCUUGCUGUUUACUACAAACUAAUUCAAACUCUUGUAAAAUUGAUUUGCAAUCCAAUUACUGUACAUGAAAAGAAUUUCAACAAAUAAAUAUGUUUACUGUCAGAUAAGGCUGAGAGUUUGCCUCAUUUUACUGAAGUACCGAUAAUUCUACAGGGAACAAGAUGAAUCGGCGUGAAGGAUUCCAUAAAAGGAAUGCUUGCCUUCAUCAGCCAGAAUAUAGAUUGCAAAAUCUUGGAGAUUAUGGUAGAACUUUAUAAAGCUUUAGUCUGGCUGCAGCUAGAGUAUUGUGUACAGUUCUGGCUACCACCUGUAGGAAGGACACAAGUACACUGCAGAGUGGUGAGUAUUUUUCAGGGUGUUGCUAGGGAUUGGAUGGGUUUGCUUUCCUUGGAGUACAGGCGACUAAGGGAAGACUUGACAGAAUUAUGAGGGGCUUAGGCAGAAGGAGAUUCCUCCUCAAAGUAAAGGUGUCUUUAAGUUUAAGAGUUUCAGAGGGACCUGAGGAUGAUAUUUUUCACCCAGAAUCUAGAUGGAACCUGGAAUGUGCUGCCUGACAGGAAGGUGGAGGCAGACCAAAUCAAGUUACUUUUUAUUGUCAUUUUGACUAUAACUGCUGGUACAGUACACAGUAAAAAUGAGACAAUGUUUUUCAGGACCAUGGUGCUACAUGAAACAAUACAAAAACUACACUGAACUACGUAAAACAACACAAAAACUACACUAGACUACAGACCUACCCAGGACUGCAUAAAGUGCACGAAACAGUGCAGGCAUUACAAUAAAUAAUAAACAGGACAAUAGGCACAGCAGGGGGCAGUAGGUUGGUAGUCCGAUGGCUUGGGGGCAAAGCUGAUACAUAAAUAAACAGCUGAAUGGUGGCGUCCGGGAUUCCGUCCGUUUCUGUACUCCCGCCGAGUAUUUCGUUGGAGUCGGAUGUAGUCCAGUUUAAUGUCGAUUGGAGAGCAGAAUGGACGGGACAGCCGGCUGACUAGGGCUUGCUUUUUUCCUGGCACAGACUCCUGCCCGCUCGCCUCGCUUCCACUUCUUCGCACACCGCUUACGACGUCCCACCUGCGGCCACUGGAGGUACACUCAUACUUAGGCGAUAUUUGCACAAGCGUUUUACCUAACAAGAGAUGGAAGGCUACAGAACGAAUGCUGGUAAAUGGGAUUGGUACUGGAUAGUCAUUAUAGACAAGAACAGGACAACAGCAGGUGACUGCAAUGUGCUGAUCAAUGAACUGCUUUUGAAUCUGGAGGUCCUGGUGUGGAUGCUACGUAGCCUCUUUGAUAAGAGUGGGUCAAUCAGUCCAUGAGCAAGAAAAUAAAUGUCAAGCAACACUUGAAGAGCCCAGGAUGAGUGCACAACAGGGACCCCCACCACCCAGGACAUGGUCUCUUCUCACUGCUGCCAUCAGGAAGAAGGCACUGGAGCCCCAGGACUCUCACCACCAGGUUCGCGAAAAGUUAUUACCCCUUAACCAUCAGGCCCUUGAACUAGUAAGGAUAACUUUACUCAACUUCGCUUGCCCCAUCGCUAAAGUGCUCCCACAACCAAUGGACUCACUUUCGAGAACUCUUCAUCUCAUGUUCUCUCCAUUUAUUGGUUAUUUAUUAUUAUUAUUUAUUUCUGUUUGUAUUCGCACUCUGGUUGAAUGAUCAACUUGGUGUGGUCUUUCAUUGAUUGUUAUUCUAUGGAUUUAUUGAGUAUGCCUGCAUGAAAAUGAACCUCAGGGUUGUAUUUGGUGAUAUAUAUGUACUUUAUUAAUAAAUUUACUUUGUAAUUUGAACUUUGUUUAUUGGGAUACAGCGUGGACAGACUCUUCUGGCCUUUCAAACCACACCAGCCAGCAACCCCCAGUUUAACCCUAGACUAAUCACAGGGCAAUUUACAAUGACCAACUAACUUACCCACCGGAACUUCUUUGGAUCUAGAUGAUUUAGAUGGUAGCUGCAGGGGCAAUUUGCAAUAUACAUCUAAACCAUUAGGCUGGUCCAAAGGGGAACACUUGAACAGGUUAAAGUUGAUAACUCUGUGUACAGCAAGGCAAGUGAGAAGUAACGAAAGAUUAAUACUUCUUGUUUCAUCUUACUCCAGCUCC